rnacentral:lncRNA from 1 species
UAUAAUAACAUAAAAUAUAAAUACAAAUUACGAUGAAUCAACAUAAUAACAUAAUCAAUUUCUUUUCAAGCACAAAUUCAUUAAAAUUCGUAUUUUUCAAAUAUCUAUAUACAUAAUCAUAAAUCUGAUUCGAAACAAAUCAUAUUCAUCUCAUCAGCCUUUAGUUACGACCACACUUAUACCCUGUGGCUAGGCCAGAAAUAGAACCGCACUUAUACCCUGCAGAGUGGGCCAGAAUACCACACUUAU